CGGGCUGUGGCGCAGUUUGGUUUAGCGCGCUUGACUGGGGGUCAAGAGGUCGCAAGUUCGAAUCUUGUCAGCCCGACCA
rnacentral:tRNA from 1 species